AAAUAUUUGGGCAAACUCUUCUAAAAGAAUAAGAAAAAGUCAAAACCUGGCCGUCGCCUGAUAGACAACAACACCACAACCACCUUUAAGAGAUUCUCUUUAAUUUUUUUUUUUUUUUUUAUAAAUACUUGGGCUUUUCAGUAUAAAUGAAGCAUCCAAUCCAAGGUUUAAUAUUCUACUGGUAGAUUUGGUGCCUCUGAAAAAAUUAACGGACGGAUUUAGAUAAAGCUAUCGUCGAGAGUUCACCUGGAAGCAGCGGAUGCGGCGGAAGCUCUGGUCGCCACCUCGUCAUCUAUGAAGAUCCUCCGGUAGCUGUGGCGGCACCAGAGCCGUUGCAUCAACCGUCCGACUAAUUUCUUUGCACUUAUCAGUGCCGUCAAAUGAUUUUGUUGAUGCUUUAAGCAAUGCGGGGAAGCAAGUUCAUGAUUAUGAAGCUAAAUUGGGACGAAUUGAAUGAAAAGUUCAGCAAAGUUGGCGUGUUUUCAUAGAUGCUAGUCUAAGAGAAAAAUGACCUUGAAGAGUUUCCAUGAAACAAACAGACAAGUUACGUGGGAUAAUAUAUGAGGGUGAGAGGCAUAAAUUUAGGGAUCACUUCUUGUAUGUAGAACAAGAGCUUCCUGCUGCUAAAGCAUGGGAGGGGGUGCUACAAGAGCAGCUUUGAAGAAGCUACACUUUCCCACGGACAACUGAGAAAACAAAUACAAUUUUUUAGACAUAUUUGAUCGGAAGAUGAACUCGAUUCCAACUUUCACUAUCAACUUACUAGUCAAGACUUUCAACAAACGAAUUUUAUUGUAAGACAUAUACAAAUAGACUUGGAGUAUUUUUUUUUUUUGUUAAUUGUGUACUCUAUAUAUAUAUGUUAAAAUGAGUAAUGAUAUGUGGUAUCAAUGAUGACGUCUAUUAGAUGAUUUUGAAUAAUGGUUAAAAUAACAUUUAAUAAUAUAAUAAUACAUCUUUAUUAGU